rnacentral:rRNA from 1 species
CACGUAGGGUGCGAGCGUUGUCCGGAAUUAUUGGGCGUAAAGAGCUCGUAGGCGGUGUGUCGCGUCGGCCGUGAAAACCUGCAGCUUAACUGUGGGCUUGCGGUCGAUACGGGGCAUCACUGGAGUUCGGCAGGGGAGACUGGAAUUCCUGGUGUAGCGGUGAAAUGCGCAGAUAUCAGGAGGGAACACCGGUGGCGAAGGCGGGUCUCUGGGCAGUAACUGACGCUGGAGGAGCGAAA